ACCCACACCCGGCCGGUUCAAC
rnacentral:siRNA from 1 species